rnacentral:rRNA from 1 species
AGUGAACGCUGGCGGUAGGCCUAACACAUGCAAGUCGAACGGCAGCACAGUAAGAGCUUGCUCUUACGGGUGGCGAGUGGCGGACGGGUGAGGAAUACAUCGGAAUCUACUUUUUCGUGGGGGAUAACGUAGGGAAACUUACGCUAAUACCGCAUACGACCUACGGGUGAAAGCAGGGGAUCUUCGGACCUUGCGCGAUUGAAUGAGCCGAUGUCGGAUUAGCUAGUUGGCGGGGUAAAGGCCCACCAAGGCGACGAUCCGUAGCUGGUCUGAGAGGAUGAACAGCCACACUGGAACUGAGACACGGUCCAGACUCCUACGGGAGGCAGGAGGGGGGAAUAUUGGACAAAGGGCGCAAGCCUGAUCCAGCCAUACCGGGUGGGUGAAGAAGGCCUUCGGGUUGUAAAGCCCUUUUGUUGGGAAAGAAAAGCAGCAGGUUAAUACCCCGCUGUUCUGACGGUACCCAAAGAAUAAGCACCGGCUAACUUCGUG